rnacentral:misc_RNA from 1 species
UCCGGUUUGACACCGGCAGUCCCUCCAGAGUUCCCGGCAUAACCCGUUGGCAACUGGGAGCGGGGGUUGCGCUCGUUGCGGGACUUAACCCAACAUCUCACGACACGAGCUGACGACAGCCAUGCAGCACCUGUGCACGGGCUCCGAAGAGGGCCUGUGGUUUCUCACAGGUUUCCCGUGUAUGUCAAGCCUAGGUAAGGUUCUUCGCGUUGCGUCGAAUUAAACCACAUGCUCCACCGCUUGUGCGGGCCCCCGUCAAUUCCUUUGAGUUUCAACCUUGCGGUCGUACUCCCCAGGCGGGGUACUUCCUGCGUUAGCGCCGGCACCCAGAGGGUCGCUCCCCCAGGCACCUAGUACCCAUCGUUUACGGCGUGGACUAC